rnacentral:rRNA from 1 species
UACGGGGGGAGCAAGCGUUGUUCGGAUUUACUGGGCGUAAAGGGCGCGUAGGCGGCGCAACAAGUCACUUGUGAAAUCUCCGGGCUUAACCCGGAGCGGCCAAGUGAUACUGUCGUGCUAGAGUGCGGAAGGGGCUACUGGAAUUCUCGGUGUAGCGGUGAAAUGCGUAGAUAUCGAGAGGAACACCUGCGGCGAAGGCGGGUAGCUGGGCCGACACUGACGCUGAGGCGCGAAGGUCAGGGGAGCAAACGGG